AUUGAACGCUGGCGGCAGGCCUAACACAUGCAAGUCGAACGAGUGGCGGACGGGUGAGUAAUGUCUGGGAAACUGCCUGAUGGAGGGGGAUAACUACUGGAAACGGUAGCUAAUACCGCAUACUAUCAGAUGUGCCCAGGUCGGAGUAGCUAGUAGGUGGGGUAAAGGCUUACCUAGGCGACGAUCCCUAGCUGGUCUGAGAGGAUGACCAGCCAAACUGGAACUGAGACACGGUCCAGACUCCUACGGGAGGCAGCAGUGGGGAAUAUUGGAGCAUGGGCGCAAGCCGGAUGCAUCCAUGCCGGGUGGAUGAAGAAGGUCUUCGGGUUGUAAAGCAGUUUCAGGGGGGAGGCGUUACCCACAGAAGAAGCACCGGCUAACUCCGUGACAGCAGCCGCGGUAAUAC
rnacentral:rRNA from 1 species